rnacentral:rRNA from 1 species
UACAGAGGGUGCGAGCGUUGUCCGGAAUCACUGGGCGUAAAGAGCUCGUAGGCGGUGUGUCGCGUCGGCCGUGAAAACCUGGGGCUCAACUCUGGGCGUGCGGUCGAUACGGGCAUCACUUGAGUUCGGCAGGGGAGACUGGAAUUCCUGGUGUAGCGGUGAAAUGCGCAGAUAUCAGGAGGAACACCGGUGGCGAAGGCGGGUCUCUGGGCCGAUACUGACGCUGAGGAGCGAAAGCAUGGGUAGCGAACAGG